rnacentral:rRNA from 1 species
UACGGGGGGUGCAAGCGUUGUUCGGAUUUACUGGGCGUAAAGGGCGCGUAGGCGGCGCAACAAGUCACUUGUGAAAUCUCCGGGCUUAACCCGGAGCGGCCAAGUGAUACUGUCGUGCUAGAGUGCGGAAGGGGCUACUGGAAUUCUCGGUGUAGCGGUGAAAUGUGUAGAUAUCGAGAGGAACACCUGCGGCGAAGGCGGGUAGCUGGGCCGACACUGACGCUGAGGCGCGAAAGCCAGGGGAGCGAACGGG